UACAGAGGGGGCAAGCGUUGUUCGGAAUUACUGGGCGUAAAGGGCGCGUAGGCGGCCUUCUAAGUCGAACGUGAAAUCCCUGGGCUCAACCCAGGAACUGCGUCCGAUACUGGAAGGCUUGAAUCCGGGAGAGGGAUGCGGAAUUCCAGGUGUAGCGGUGAAAUGCGCAGAUAUCAGGAGGAACACCGGUGGCGAAGGCGGGUCUCUGGGCCGAUACUGACGCUGAGGAGCGAAAGCGUGGGGAGCAAACGGG
rnacentral:rRNA from 1 species